rnacentral:lncRNA from 1 species
GUCCAUCUGACUUUAGUGGAGCCAUGGAGACUCUUGCUGGAACUGUGCAGCCCAUCUUUGCAUUUUCUUUUGAGUGGCAUCGUCCAGUGAAGAGGAAGAAUAAAUGAGGGAGCUAAUGAGCCAUGACAAGAACAAAAGGCCAGCAGCCAAGAGGAGGGGGAAAUAGGAGCUGGCAGACCAGACCGGACUGCGGCUCCUGAGCUGGUUGUUUCCCUUCUCAAAGGCGCAAAGCUGGCCACCUUGCUGAGUGCACUGGAUGGCACACAGUGACAACAAAUGACACAGAAGCCUCUCUUCUCGAGGACUCGAGGAGUUAAAUAUCUGAUGGAGAAGAGAAGACAGGACCCAGGCACAAGCAGCGCAAUCUGUAUGAACAAAUACAAGAAUCACAUACUCCACAGUCCCAUGAGCCACGGGGAUAGAUAGCAAAGGGUUCCCCAGCAGCCCUGGCAGGCAGGUAGACAGCCACAGCUAUGCGGGCCCUUAGGUCAGCCCUCUCAGAUGAUCUGAAACCACUUCAGUCUGUCUGAAGCUCUCAUGAACAUUUCCUGUUAAGUAUUGUUUUCAAUAAUUUAUUCUGGAGGAGAUGUUGGCUCCCCUGGGAAUCACUUUGCAGCACAUCCCCUCCAGAGACCAGCUACAGACAUCAGGCGCCAGGAUAGAAGAGUCGCUCUGUGUAGACGGUGGACCAGGAAUAAGGUUGCCUCAAAAAAAUAAUAGCUGACAUCCGCCCCACCCUCCACUCUUCAAUCAAGCCAGUCAGGCAAUGAACCUUUUCACACCUGAGGGAUUAUUUUUGCUUUUGUCUGAUUCUGCUGUGUUAAAGGAAACAAGUGUUGAGAAAGGACUCAAUUAACUGAGCUUCAGGAUAAUCCAAGGUGAAGAAAAACAAGAGCUGACAAAGAAAAGAAAUGGGCAUGUGCAAAGCGAUGAAAAAUCUGUGUUGCCUGACAAACAACUGUCAGUGAAACAAGGCUAUAUUUUACCUUAUUUUUUCAGUUCUCAUAUCAUAAACAAGUAUCCUUUUUGGGGAUCUAUUUAGUGACACACUUUUUACUUUUUUUGCUUUCUGCUGGUUAUUUCACUUUUUCCCAAAUGUAAUGCUAUAAUGCUGAUGUUUAUAAGCACAAAAAGUCUGUGAUGUGCCUUAUGGAGAAAAUACAGGUAUUAGAUAAGCUUUGUUUAGGCAUGAAUUAUAGUGCUUUUGGCCAUGAGUUCAAUGUUAAGAAAUCAACAAUAUGUAUUUAAAAAAUAAGAUGUCUUCAAAUAGACACACAUAGAACAAGGUUAUAUAUUGAAUAGGUGAUGAAAAUGUUGUGUCCAGGGGCUUGUAGGAACCUAACCCUGUAUUUCCCUUAGGAGCAAUGGUUCAAUAUUCUCUAAGUCAGUGUUCAUAACAACUUUGUAAAACAUAACUACCACACAUAAUGAGAAUUGGCUGUACAUGUUCCUGCUGUGAUAGAUUAAAACACAUGGCGACAACAUUUGCAACUCCUCCAUUAAGAGACUAUUUCCCCAUACCUUGAAUCUGGGCUGUCCUGUGACUAGCCUUGACCAAUAAAAUAUGGCAGUUUUGUGCAAUUUUUGGAGCCUGGACUCAAAGGAUCUAGCAGCUUUUGGCUUUGUCCUCUUGGAACACUGUCCUGAGAUCAUCAUGUAAGGAUGUGAGUUGAGACCGCCCACUGGAGGAUGAGAAGCCACAUGGGGAAGAACCAAGACACCCCAGCCAACAGCCAGAAACAAUUGCUACACAUGUGAAUGAGGACAUCUUGGACUUUCCAGCACAGUCAAUCCUCCAACCACAUAGAGCUGUAUGAGUAAGCCCAGGCAAAACCAGCAAAAGAGUUGCCCAGCUGACGGAUCACUUGAGGUCAGGAGUUUGAGACUAGCCUGGCCAACAGGGUGAAAUCCUGUCUCUAGUAAAAAUACAAAAAAUUAGCCAUGCGUGAUGGUGGGCACCUGUAAUCCCAGCUACUUGGGAAGCUGAGGCAGGAUAAUUGCUUGAACCCUGGAGGCAGAGGUUUCAGUGAGCCGAGAUUGGGCCACUGAACUCCAGCCUGGGCGACACAGCCAGACCCUGUCUCAGAAAAAAAAAAAAAAAAAAAGAGUUGCCCAGCUGAAUCAUAGAACCAUGAGAAGUAAUAAACUGUGUUGUUUUGGGGUGGUUUGUUUUACAGGAAUCAAUAACUGGUAUACCUACCUGCUGGGAGUUCAGUGUGGCUAUGGGACUUGCUUUUGCAAAUUAAAUAUGACACAUGUCGCUUCUAAGUGGAAGCAUGUAAUUGCUCUUCCCCUACUGUGGCAAUCAGGGAAGGGUAUGUUGAUAAAGAAAAGCUGUGAGAUCGAAUGGCAUGCUAAGUCAUCACGCAAGGACAGUUGCCCUGGAUGGCAGCCACCCAAACCCAAAAGCAGACCAGGGUGAGCUAUGAAUAAACUUGUAUAAAUCCUAAGAUUUGGGGGAUGUUUUUUACUGUGGCAUAUCUAGCCUAUUUUGACUAUCAGAACUGGAGAUUUUAAUAAACAUUUUAUUUAUUUAUUUAUUUAUUUAUUUAUUUAUUUAUUUAUUUAUUUUGAGACAGGGUCUUGCACUGUCACCCACGCUGGAAUACAGUGGUGCAAUCUUGGCUCACUGCAACCUCCACCUCCCAGAUUCAAGCAAUUCUCCCAUGUCAGCUUCCCAGGUAGCUGUGACUACAGGUGCCACCAUGCCUGGCUAAUUUUUGUGUUUUUAGUAGAGACAGCGUUUCACCAUGUUGGCCAGGCUGGUCUGGAACUCCUGGCCUCAAAUGAUCUGCCUGCCUCAGCCUCCCAGAGUGCUGGGAUUACAGGCAUGAACCACUGCGCCUGGCCUAAUAGACAUUUCCUAUGCUAAGCCUUUUUCCUACUCACCCAAGAAUUUCUAGACCUCUCUGGAAAAAGGAAAAAAAUGCUUGAAUGUAGGCUGACAGGUCAAUGCCAAGCUGGGUGUCUGGGAUUAAUUACAAAUAUUCAUCUGCCCCUUUGAAUCCAUUCAUUCCACAUACAUUUGUUAGUGUCCUUACCAGUUAAUUGUACAGAAGAUGCUCUUGGACCACCCUGGUGAUAAUCUGAUAGUCCUUUGCAGAACAAAGAGGUGAUCCCGAACCAGGUCAGUGGAUAUGCGUACAGAAAACAGAACACCAGUCAGCUGACCUUGCUGUCUUUGCUGAGCUGUGUCCCAUUAUCACAGUCAAGUUCACCUUACAGCUCAAUUGGCAUGCAACAUUUUUCUCAUAUGUCAAAUGAAAUGAGAAGUAAAAUGUGUCCUGAGAUCUAAAUGGUAGCUGAUAAAAAUGAAAGUUUCCUAAUGAUACUUCUUUAAAAAUAAAUAAAUAAAUAAGACCUAGUUACUUCUACAGACAGGGCCCUGCAAGGGGGCAGACACUAGUUAGGUUUUUACAAAUUUUAAUGCCUGAGAUGUUUCUACACAGAAUGCCCUUAGCUUAACAACACGGGACUGAUUUAACACAAACAGGGAGAUCCUUGCUGAGAAAAUAGGCAUGGACUUUGGUCUUGUUGUCAAAGAUGAAAGUGCCCCUUGGCACAUAUAGAGACAGAAGGCAGAUUUAUAUGUGCAACCGGACAGGGCUGAGGAGAUUAAACUGUGCUUAGCAGCUUCAGUACCCAUUUGGGCUCAUGGUGAAUGGCAUUUUUGUUCCACCUUGCUGUCAGUAUUCUCGGUUGCUUCAGAUUGGUGUCAAUCAGCAUUAGAAAUUACACCACUGGAAGACUCAGGUAUUUCUGAUUUUCCUUCUCAUUCAUUUUGCCAAGUGGGAAUUGUUCACGAACUUUUCUGCAGAACAAUAGCUCCCUUCCUAUGGCUGCAGUCCAAGCCUCUGUAACAGUGUAAUUCAUUUUCUAGAAAUGCUUGGUCCACAAUUUCCAUUGACUGUGGUCACAGACUUUUCCCUUCCCCAGCUACUCCUUUUUCUACAACUCUGGAUUUUGUGGCUCAAAAUUUGGGACACUGACAAGGACUCAACUUGAGCCAGACCAGAAGAAAUGAAUUUGAAUCUGAAUUAAAAGAGGAAUGAUUUAAAAGAUGUGAAGGAGGACUUUUUUUCUUUUUUUUUUUUUUGAUAUGGAGUUUCAUUCUGUCACCCAGGCUGGAGUACAGUGGUACGAUCUUGGCUGACUGCAGCCUCUGCCUCCUGGGUUCAAGUAAUUUUCCUGUCUCAGCCUCCCGAGUAGCUGGGAUUACAGGUGCCCACCACCACAUCC